GGGGACCUGAUCCAGCCAUGCCGCGUGUGUGAAGAAGGCCUUUUGGUUGUAAAGCACUUUAAGCGAGGAGGAGGCUACCGAGAUUAAUACUCUUGGAUAGUGGACGUUACUCGCAGAAUAAGCACCGGCUAACUCUGUGCCAGCAGCCGCGGUAAUACAGAGGGUGCAAGCGUUAAUCGGAUUUACUGGGCGUAAAGCGCGCGUAGGUGGCCAAUUAAGUCAAAUGUGAAAUCCCCGAGCUUAACUUGGGAAUUGCAUUCGAUACUGGUUGGCUAGAGUAUGGGAAGAGGAUGGUAGAAUUCCAGGUGUAGCGGUGAAAUGCGUAGAGAUCUGGAGGAAUACCGAUUGCGAAGGCAGA
rnacentral:rRNA from 1 species